CCAGAAGUGCAUCUGAAAGAGCCAAACGAACAUCCAUUUGAUAAGCCGUCGUCCAUGUCGUUCUGACGUGGAACAGAAGUACCGAUUUGAGUCGAAUUAUAAAUGUUACAGUAUUACUACGGGAUUUUUUAUCUUGUCAUAUUGAUCAUUAAUAGAGGAGAGAAGGAUUUAAGCUGACUGGUCAUUCCUUAAAAUUUGGAAAUAUGAAACUACUGGAGACAAAAAGAUUCAGUCCGAAAAAAUAAUUUAAAGGUUUACCCA